GACGAACGCUGGCGGCGUGCUUAACACAUGCAAGUCGAACGAAGUGGCGCAAGGGUGAGUAAUACGUGGGUAACCUGCCCUCCUUUUUGGGAUAACCCUUGGAAACGGGGUCUAAUACCGAAUCAAGGGGGAUAGGCUCGCGGCCUAUCAGCUUGUUGGUGGGGUGAGGGCCUACCAAGGCGGUGACGGGUCGCCGGCCUGAGAGGGGGACCGGCGACAUUUGUGCUGGGAUUCGACCCAGACUGCUACGGGGGGCAGCAGUGGGGGAUAUUGCACAAUGGGCGAAAGCCUGAUGAAGCGACGGCUCGUGGGGGAUGAAGGCUUUCGGGUUGUAAACCUCUUUCGCUAUCGAACGAGUAGGUGGAGAAGAAGCGCCGGCUAACUACGUGCCAGCAGCCGCGGUAAUUC
rnacentral:rRNA from 1 species